GAUGAACGCUGACAGAAUGCUUAACACAUGCAAGUCGAGGGGCAGCACAGUGUAGCAAUACACGGGUGGCGACCGGCGCACGGGUGCGUAACGCGUAUCCAACCUUCCCGUUACUCUUGGAUAGCCUUCCGAAAGAGAGAUUAAUACAAGAUGGUAUUCAAAUUCCGCAUGUUAUUUGAAUUAAAGAUUUAUCGGUAACGGAUGGGGAUGCGUGACAUUAGAUAGUAGGCGGGGUAACGGCCCACCUAGUCUGCGAUGUCUAGGGGUUCUGAGAGGAAGGUCCCCCACACUGGAACUGAGACACGGUCCAG
rnacentral:rRNA from 1 species